AGUGCAUCGGGCCUAUGUGUGGCCGGGCUGGCUCUUCCAAUGGGCGUUAUGCACCUGGCACAGAGCAGCUGCUCAAUAAACCUGCAGAAUGAGAAUGAAUGUCUAUCGCUUGCACCAGACUGUAAGCUUUGUUAGAACAAAGAUUCUCUUCUGUUCAUCUUUUUAUUCUCAACAUCUUGCACAGAGCCUGCCAUAUGGUACCCAAGACCCCAAUUCUGUCGGAGACAACCGCAAUUAACAACUUCUUGUGCAUCUUAUCAGACAGCUGGCGCGCACACCCGCAGAUACGCCCACCCUCAGGCGUCCUUCUACGCAAAGAUGGAUAGCACCCAUCAACGCUGUUUUUUCUUUUUUUAGACGGAGUCUCGCUCUGUCGCCCAGGCUGGAGUGCAGCGGCGCGAUCUCGGCUCACUGCAAGCUCCACCUCCCGAGUUCAUGCCAUUCUCCUGCCUCAGCCUCCAGAGUAGCUGGGACUACAGGCGCCCACCACCACGCCCGGCUGAUUUUUUUGUAUUUUUAGUAGAGAUGAGGUUUCACCAAGUUAGCCAGGAUGGUCUCGAUCUCCUGACCUCGUGAUCCGCCCGCCUCGGCCUCCCAAAGUGCUGGGAUUACAGACGUGAGCCACCGCAACCGGCCCAACGCUGUUUUUACUGUUGUUUCCUUUUUUAACCUAAGGUAUCUUAGAAGUCACCCUACAUUAGUGCAUAUUAAACAUUGUUCGUCUUAA
rnacentral:lncRNA from 10 species